rnacentral:rRNA from 2 species
ACUCCUACGGGAGGCAGCAGUGGGGAAUUUUGGACAAUGGGCGAAAGCCUGAUCCAGCCAUGCCGCGUGAGUGAAGAAGGCCUUCGGGUUGUAAAGCUCUUUUAGUCGGAAAGAAAGAGUUGCAAUGAAUAAUUGUGAUUUAUGACGGUACCGACAGAAAAAGCACCGGCUAACUACGUGCCAGCAGCCGCGGUAAU